UGACCAUGGGGGGCGAGUGGCGGCCGUCGUCCAUGUCCAGCUCGGUGCACUGCGCCUCCCCGUGGAUGACGGCCAAGCCCAGCCGCAGCCUCUCUGCGUAGGACUGGGCCCUGAGAGGACAAGGCAGGCGGUGAGCCAGGAAGGAGAGAAAA